ACUUAGAUCUAUUAGAUGAUCGCUCUUGCAAUUUCUAGCCUGUUGAAUCCUCAUAGUGAUUUUAUUUUCUUGCGCAUGUCUCUACACUUGGGAUUUUAUUGUCUGAGCGGAUCAGUUAGGUAACUUGCAGAUUGAUUCUUGUUACCGGAUCUAUUGGGAGGUAUGACGUUAGACUGGGGACAAAUGGGGAUAUCACCUCAUCGACAUAGCCACUAAUCCCCUCACAUAGGCUCUCGUUCCCGGAUACUAUAGGUCUUCCUGGGACCGGAUGUCUUUUUUUGUGGAUCUUAGGAAUUGCAUAGAAUGUUGCAAGUACUGGAUUCGGGGAGAUGCUACGUCUUUGGCUGAUAUCCCCACUUGUCCCGGUCCUUCUGGUGUGUCCCUGAUGCUAAAAAAGAAGACGAAGAAACUGAAGAUGGAGAGGGUAAGUGUGGAGCUGAAUUUGAUGUUCCUAUUGGAGCUUGCGUUGCUGCAAAUGGGAAGGAUGGAAUUGAGGAGAAAAGUGUAGGGACUAUUUCCGUAGUUUUUCCCCCACUUGUGACUGGUUCUCUCUCUACAUUCUGUGCUA